AGUGAACUGGUCCCCUUAGCAGCUGACCUCCUCCUCCAGCCCUGUGGCUGCCUCCUCUCCAACAGGGACCCUCCUGGUGAAAGAAAAAGAGACUUGGUAAUUCACUGAGCAUCACCCAAGACCGGGCGCAGACCUACACCCUGGCGUAUAAAAGACGUAGUACUCACGUCAUUCCUGUUUCACAGAUGCACAGACUUACUCUUGGAGAGGCUCCUCCCAAAAGUCACCCAGCUGAUUUUCAUCCACUUGGCUCCCCAAGUUGCUGCUCGACCGCUCUCUGACCUGGAUUCACUGAGGACACAUCAGGCCUUUGCCACGGGCUCCAUGGAGUGGCCGGAGCCCAGGGCUGGGUGAGUGUGGGGUGGGUCUGAAGGGGAGGACGUGCAUCUAGAGGCCAGGCCAGCCCCUGCAGGAUUUUCUGAUGUCAAAUCGCCUGUCCUGUGCCCGAGCCCUAUCGCCUUAGCAGAAUGAGGACACGUGCCUCCCCUGGGCCU
rnacentral:lncRNA from 1 species